rnacentral:rRNA from 1 species
GACGAACGCUGGCGGCGUGCUUAACACAUGCAAGUCGAACGGAUAGGCCCUGCUUUUGUGGGGUGCUCGAGUGGCGAACGGGUGAGUAACACGUGAGUAACCUGCCCUUGACUUUGGGAUAACUUCAGGAAACUGGGGCUAAUACCGGAUAGGAGCUCCUGCUGCAUGGUGGGGGUUGGAAAGUUUCGGCGGUUGGGGAUGGACUCGCGGCUUAUCAGCUUGUUGGUGGGGUAGUGGCUUACCAAGGCUUUGACGGGUAGCCGGCCUGAGAGGGUGACCGGCCACAUUGGGACUGAGAUACGGCCCAGACUCCUACGGGAGGCAGCAGUGGGGAAUAUUGCACAAUGGGCGGAAGCCUGAUGCAGCAACGCCGCGUGCGGGAUGACGGCCUUCGGGUUGUAAACCGCUUUCGCCUGUGACGAAGCGUGAGUGACGGUAAUGGGUAAAGAAGCACCGGCUAACUACGU